rnacentral:rRNA from 1 species
GUAGGGUGCGAGCGUUAAUCGGAAUUACUGGGCGUAAAGCGUGCGCAGGCGGUUAUAUAAGACAGUUGUGAAAUCCCCGGGCUUAACCUGGGAACUGCAUNUGUGACUGUAUAGCUAGAGUACGGCAGAGGGGGAUGGAAUUCCGCGUGUAGCAGUGAAAUGCGUAGAUAUGCGGAGGAACACCGAUGGCGAAGGCAAUCCCCUGGGCCUGUACUGACGCUCAUGCACGAAAGCGUGGGGAGCAAACAGGAUUAGAUACCCUGGUAGUCCACGCCCUAAACGAUGUCAACUGGUUGUUGGGUCUUCACUGACUCAGUAACGAAGCUAACGCGUGAAGUUGACCGCCUGGGGAGUACGGCCGCAAGGUUGAA